GGUCAUCCAUGCAAGUGACGACCGUACAACGUCCAAGUGCAAAACAUGAGGAUUGACGAAAGGAGCAGUCCAAUGCGAAAUGUCCCACGCUCCAGUGGUAUAAACAGAACACAGAAUGAGCUUUUCCUCAACAUUUCUCUUCGUGCUCCACAAGAAUGGAUAUGGGUUUGGAAAUUGUGGUUCCAAACACGUGCAUCAGGGGCUGCUGCUCCAGCAAAUCGAUCCCUCUUCAUCUUCAACGUUCCGCAUUUACGUUGCUCUCCCCAAUUGCCCGAGGAGCCGAGAGUAUUGUGUAUGAAGGAAGGUUGGAUGGUAAAAAGGUGGCUGUAAAGAAGCCGACCUUGUCUACUUCUGAGGAAUUGGACAAGUUUCAUAAGGAGCUUCAGUUGCUAUGUGAAUUAGAUCAUCCAGCCAUAGUAAAACUGGUUGCAGCAAAUGCGAAGCCACCUAACUACAUGUUUUUCUUUGAAUUCUACGAGUCUCCAAAUCUUGCGGAGAAAUUGCAUGCUGAAGAAUGGAAUCCAAGUAUCAAUCAGGUGCUCACGGUCACUCUACAGUUAGCAAAGGCUUUGCAGUAUUUGCAUAACUUGGGGAUCGUACAUAGGGAUGUGAAACCAGCGAAUGUUCUUCUUGACAAAGAUUUGCAUCCAUACUUGGCUGAUUUUGGUUUAGCAAUACACCGGAAAUAUCUGAAAGAAAUUUCUGCUGAAAAUUGGGAGUCAUCUGGCAAGCCAACAGGUGGUUUCUAUAAGAAAAGCAUGGUUGGGACACUCAUCUAUAUGGCUCCUGAGAUAUUGAGGAAGGAAAUAUAUACAGACCUAUCAGAUGUCUAUAGCUUUGGCAUCCUAAUGAAUGAGCUUUUGACUGGUGUUGUUCCAUAUACCGAUCUUCGUACUGAAGCACAGGCCCACACUGUACUGGAAAUGAAUUAUACAGAGCAGCUACUUACGGCAGCUAUUGUUUCAGAUGGCUUGCGGCCAGCUCUUCCUAGUGAUGAGUCUGGCACACCAUCUAGGUUGUUAUCACUUAUACGGAGGUGCUGGGAUGCAAAUCCUAUAAACAGACCAUCUUUUUCUGAUAUAGUUAUGGACUUGGAGUCAAUUUGGGAGAAUAGAAAGGGUCUAGAAUCUGACACCCCUAUACAAUCUGACUUGUGCGGUAGGCUUAGUGAUGCUAAUGAACAUGAUUAUGUGUAUCGAGAAGAUAUUAACUGGUCACAUCAGGGAGAACAUUGUUCUCAAAAGUCAUCUGAUGCAGAUAGGUGUGCUUUGAAUGAGUGGCUUGAUUUCUCAGCUGACCAAUUGGCAUACCGCCCAACACUUUCUUGGGGAUCCUUCUCCACCUGUGGGAGGAGGGAGACGAUGGAGGACACUCAUUUUCUUUUGCCUCACUUCUGCAGUGAAAAGGACAUCCAUGUCUUUGGGAUCUUUGAUGGUCAUAGAGGUGCAGCAGCUGCUGAGUUUUCAGAUCAAGCAAUUCCUGGAUUCUUGCGAACAUCAUUUUCCACAAGAAGUCCUGUAGAUGCAUUAAUGGAAGCAUUUGUAAAAACAGACAUUGAGUUUAGAAAACAACUCGAGUUUUUUCGCAAAUCCAAGAAAGUCAAACAGAAAGACUGGCAUCCUGGUUGCACUGCUGUUGUUGCUCUAAUUGUUAGAGAAAGGCUUUUUGUUGCCAAUGCUGGUGAUUGCAGGACAAUAUUGUGUCGGGCUGGGGAUCCCGUUGUUCUAAGUAAGGAUCAUGUCGCUAGUUGUCUCGAGGAGAGAGAGCGUGUCAUCAGUGCUGGAGGCCAGGUCAAUUGGCAAGUUGAUACAUGGAGGGUUGGUCCGGCUGCUCUUCAGCUGCCACUUGUCAUUAUCUUAUUCGUCCACGGUCGCUACGUCACUGCCACAUCAUGGGCCAUGCCAUCGCCACGCCAGCAAAAAAGUGACUGGUUGGAGUGCCACGUCAUCAAAAUUGACCGUUUGUGUGCCACAUCAGCCACCACGUCGGAUGCCACGUGUCACUGCCAUGUUGGAUUUCCUCUCCAAUCUUCUUUUGCUUAUAAUUUUCUCGUUUGAACUCCGAUUUGAGCGAUUCAAAUUGUGUUGGAAUCGUCUUUCCGAGCUCUACAAGAUAGUGACUUUGAAACACUGAAAAUGUUAGUACAAAAAAUCUGAGUUUGUUAUCAUCAAAAUAAUUGGUUUGAUUGAAGCCCUAAAGCUAACAAUUUCUGCAUUCCACUACAGAUGAAAAGUUUAUUGAAUGCAAAAGGAACCAAAGCUGGUUCUGCUUUCCAAUGUAAAUGGCUAUUUUUGUGGCUUGGUAAACACUAUUCUUUGGUAACUCGAUCAAUUGGCGAUGAUGAUCUGAAGCCAGCUGUGACUGCAGAACCUGAGAUUACGGAAACUGUUCUGACAUCACAGGAUGAUUACCUGGUUAUGGCUAGUGAUGGAUUGUGGGAUGUCCUUAGCAACUCUGAGG